rnacentral:rRNA from 2 species
CUGGGUGUGGUGGGGAACCAGGACUUUUACUGUGAAAAAAUUAGAGUGUUUAAAGCAGGCUCACGCUUGAAUACAUUAGCAUGGAAUAAUGAAAUAGGACGUUUGAUUCUAUUUUGUUGGUUUCCAGGAUCGACGUAAUGAUUAAUAGGGAUAUUGGGGGCAUUAGUAUUCAAUUGUCAGAGGUGAAAUUCUUGGAUUUAUUGAAGACUAACUACUGCGAAAGCAUUUGCCAAGGAUGUUUUCAUUAAUCAAGAACGAAAGUUAGGGGAUCGAAGACGAUCAGAUACCGUCGUAGUCUUAACCAUAAACUAUGCCGACUAGGGAUCGGAUGAUGUUAAUUUUUUAAUGACUCAUUCGGCGCCUUACGGGAAAC